rnacentral:lncRNA from 1 species
GGGAGACGCUGCUGGAAAACGUCAGUGCAGGCACCAAACCCCAGUUCCCGUCCUGUUACAUCCCAGAGAGAUACAGAUAUAGAUCCAUGUUGUAUAUAGAGAGAUAUGUGUGAUACAGAUCCAUAUUGUAUAGAUACAGAGAUAUGUGUGAUAUAGAUCCAUGUUGUAUAUAGAGAGAUAUGUGUGAUAUAGAUAGAUGUAAUAUGGAUCCAUAUUCUAUAGAGAUAUAUGAUAUAGAUCCAUAUUGUAUAAAUACAGAGAUAUGUGUGAUAUAGAUCCAUAUUCUAUAGAUAAUAGAUAUAAUACAGAUCUAUAUUCUAUAGAUAGCGAGAUAGAUACAAUAUAGAUCCAUAUUCUAUAUAUAGAGAGAGAUAGAUGUAAUACAGAUCUAUAUUAUAUAGAAAAAUGUAUAUAACAUAGAUCCAUAUUCUAUAUAUAGAUGUGUGAUAUAGAUCCAUAUUCUGUAUAGAGAUAGAUAUAAUAUAGAUCUAUAUUCUAUAGAUAAAUAUAUAUUAUAUAGAUCCAUAUUCUAUAUAUAGACAGAUAGAUACAAUAUAGAUCUGUAUUACAUAGAUAAAUGUAUAUUAUAUAGAUCCAUAUUACAUAUAUAUAGUGAUAUAUAAAAUAUAUCUGUAUAUAUAAAAUAUAGAUCCAUAUUUUAUAUAUAGAGAGAUAGAUAUUAUAUAGAUCUAUAUUAUAUAGAUAAAUAUAUAUAAUAUAGAUCCAUUUUCUAUGUAUAUAAAAUAUAUAUCUAUAUUCUAUAUAUAGAUAUACAAUACAAAUCCAUAUUUUAUAUAUAUAAUAUACAUCCAUAUUAUAUAUAUAUGUUAGAUGCAUAUUAUAUAUAUAGGUAUAUAGAACAGAUCCAUAUUUUAUAUAUAGAGAGAUAUAUAUAAUAUAGAUCCUUAUAUAUAGUGAUAAAUAUAAUAUAAAUCUAUGUUCUAUAUAUAGAUAUAUAAUACAGGUCCAUAUUUUAUAUAUAUAAUACAGAUCCAUAUUCUAUAUAUAGAUAUAUAAUGCAGAUCCAUGUUUUAUAUACAUAGAGAUAUAGAUAAUUUACAUCUAUAUUCUCUAUACAGAUCCAUAAUAUAAAUCCAUGUUUUAUAUAUAUAUAAUAUAGAUCCAUGUUUUAUAUAUAGACCCUUAUUCUAUACAUAGAGAUACAUAUAAUAUAAAUCUAUAUUCUGUAUAUAUAAAGAUCUAUAUAAUAUAGAUCUGUAUAUAAUAUAGAUCUCUAUUACAUUAUUAAACGUAAUAUAUUAGAUUUUUAUCUUU